AGAAAUUUUCCAUGUGUAAUUCUUUCAUGAAGGGAGAAAGAACUAGCUGAAAGCAUCUCAUCCCAUGAGGACACCACAGAUCCUACCCUUCAGGCUCUACAUCAUUAUCUGCAAGGAAAGCUAGGUGUCAAUGACAAACUCAAAUCAAUAAAGGGCUGAAGUACCUGUAAUGGUGCCAGAGGAAGACCUAUCCAGCUGAGCUCCUUUUGAGGUCUGGAAUAUUUGUAGUGGCCUUCUAGCACCAAAGUCAGAUGGAGAGUGAAUGUUGCUCAAAACUACUGGAC